UGAUUGUAACAAUGUCAGUAUCGUUGGUCU
rnacentral:piRNA from 1 species